ensembl:lncRNA
CGCGGGAAGAGCCGGCGGAGCACACAGUCCACAGACCGCGGAGGCGUGAGGUGCAGCCGACGGGCCAGUCCGCUCGUAGGUCACCUGUCAGUCACGCCCUCUCUGUGACCUCCUCGCAUGCACUUGGACAGCGCCCUGGGUUCGCAGAGGCUGUCCGGGGCUCUGACGCGUGGAGAUCUUCGGAUCCUCAUGGAGACCCCAGCACCCCAGACAGGACAGGACACUGCCAUCCGUUCCAGCCCCAGCCUUCCCUUCAGGUCUCUCUCUGGUCACCCUCAUCCAGGCCCUGCAGCAGCUUGGGGUGGUGGCGUGAAAGACGGUCUCCAAAAGGGGCUUUCAUUCAGGCUCACCAAAGCUGGUCUUCAGAGUCCAUCAGACCUAUGUACUGUGAAAGGAAAGUGCCAAAGGAGUCAGUAGUGGCAAGAGAACUCUCUAAAUCAGAGCCGGGAGGCCAUCGAGAUAAUGUGACUUACACAUGUCUCAACAUGGAUGGACUAUUACCUUUUGACCGAAUGAAAUCAUCCAGAACAUCUGCUAGAAACUUCUCAGUCUUUCAACUUAUCAGACACUCACCCUAAAAAAAUAGCUUGUGACAGUCUAUCCACUUAUCAGCCCCCUGCACCCUAAAACAAUCUGUGGUUCCUUAAGGACAAUAUAUUUUCUGACUAACAUCAGAGUUGAUCACAAUUAUUGUCAGGCAACUUUGAACAACUCUGUGGCUUUUGUCUUUAUAGGCCUUUGACCUCUUCUCUUCUCCAGAACAUUCUUUUGGGGGUUAGCCAAAUCUGUUCUGAAUUGCAAUUCUUAAAUCCCAAGUAAACUCUUAUUUGCCGCCUCUUGCAUUAUGUUUUUGGUUGACAUUACAAAGUGCUAUGGAACUUGCCUGGAAAAGGUGAUGGCACCCCACUCCCGUACUC